rnacentral:rRNA from 1 species
CCCUUAGAUGUUCUGGGCCGCACGCGCGCUACACUGACGAAUGCAACGAGCUUAUAACCUUGGCCGAAAGGUCUGGGUAAUCUCCAAAUUUCGUCGUGAUGGGGAUAGAUUAUUGCAAUUAUUAAUCUUCAACGAGGAAUGCCUAGUAAGCGCAAGUCAUCAGCUUGCGUUGAUUACGUCCCUGCCCUUUGUACACACCGCCCGUCGCUCCUACCGAUUGAAUGGUCCGGUGAAGCGUUCGGACCGUGGCCUUUGGACGGUUCGCCGUCUGUUGGCUGCGGUAAGUUCGUUAAACCUUAUCAUUUAGAGGAAGGAGAAGUCGUAACA